rnacentral:lncRNA from 1 species
CAGGUGGAACCCGGAGAAAGCCACGCAGAGAAGCCGGGCCAGUGUUUGACCGACUGUGCCUGGAACUGGGCCAGGGAGAGGAAGUUACAGAGGGUUUGCAAAAUAACUUCCCCUCGCUUCUGAAGGCAGUUCCUUGGCCAAGGAUCAGAUCCGAGCCCCAGUUUUGACCUACACUGCAGCUGCGGCAACACCGGAUCCUUAACCCACUGCCUGACAAGGGAUCUUGCUGUUUGUUUGUUUGUUUAAGGGCUCUUCUGUCUUCCCCCAAAACUUGUGAGUAUAAAGAAGGUUUUCUUGAGCUGCUUUACUUGGCCAGUCAUUCAUGAAUUCACUCAACAAUUGUCUUUGAUACGCCAGGCACUGAGGACUCAAAGAGGAACAAAAGAGACAAUAUCUCUGCUCUGCAGAAACUGACAGUCUAUUGAAUGACAUAGUUGUCCAGCAAAGUGUGAUUAAUCUCUGAUGGCAGGACUCUACUCCAAGGGCACCUAACCUAGUCUGGGGCGACUGGUCAGGAAAACUUCCCGAAAGAUGAUUUUUAGGCUAAACCAGUCUGCCGACAAACCUAAGACAGUUAUAGGAGUCAGGUGGCAAAGUUAGCAUCAUUUCUUUAGUUAGCAAUUCUUCCAAAGUAAGGCAUGAAUAUAGGGCCAGGUCCCAACAAUAUAAUAAAUGCUGGUAGGCAGGACACAGCCCAAAUUAUAUAUAACAAGAGAGAGUGGCUAUGCAAAAAGAAUGUAAAAUCGAGUACAGUUCUUUUGGUAAACCACUGUUCUGAUUGUUGAUCAUGAAAAAAUGAGCUACUUCAAACUCACAAAGUCUAAUUUUCCUAGGAAAUAGUUUACUUCAAAUAGCCUCGAACAGCGGUACUAUCUUACAGUCUGGAAUGUUUGGGGAUGUUCUUAUGUUUUAAAUCUACUCCUUAGAAAAUAUCACAAAAAGGCAUCAUACUGAUGCAGCUAAAAAAUCAAUUCCUGAUUUACCUAAUCCUCCUUACUCAGUUAUUAUGAUCAUUUUGUCUUUUUGUCUUUUUAGGGCCGCACCCGCAGUGUGUGGAGGUUCCCAGGCUAGGGGUCAAAUAGGAGCUGUAGCUGCCAGCCUACACCACAGCCACCGCAACGCCAGAUACAAGCUGGGUCUGUGACCUACACUAUCAUAGCUCACUGCAAGGCAGGAUCCUCAACCGACUGAGCAAGGCCAGGGAUCGAACCGAAACCUCAAGGUUCCUAGUUGAUUCAUUUCCACUGCGCCAUGAUAGGAACUCCUCCUCAGUUAUUCUAAUGAGACACAAAGAACUCUCCUACAGGGUUGCCGAGAUCCAAAAAUAGGGAGUUCCCAAAUUAUUUGUGCUUACUCUUUACUCAGCCCACAGCAAUCCUCUGCCUAUUUAUGUUAAUGAGAUUGUCCUCCUUAUUUAAUCGCAGCUUUCAGCUCUGGAAACACCUUAGCCCAGGGAAAGCCUUUAAAUACCAUGGAGCUUGUAGUAUUGGGUUAACAACCAAGAGUGGAAAUCAAACUCCAAGACUCUUCCAUGUGCUCACGAUUUCAGCAGGACAAUGGAAGGUAAACUGAGGCUCUAAGAUCCAUGUAGGAUAAGUGGGAGAAAAAAAAUCACCGCAAGGAGAUAUCUAUCACAUAGGAAGAUCUAAAAAUUCUGCCAACUCUUAACAUUUUAAUAUUGUUUUAUUUUAUUUUAUUUGUUUUGUCUUUUUGCUAUUUCUUGGGCUGCUCCCGUGGCAUAUGGAGGUUCCCAGGCUAGGGGUCCAAUCAGCCUACGCCAGAGCCACAGCAACUCGGGAUCCGAGCUGCGUCUGCGACCUACACCACAGCUCACGGCAACGCCGGAUCGUUAACCCACUGAGCAAGGGCAGGGACCGAACCUGAAACCUCAUGGUUCCUAGUCGGAUUCGUGAACCACUGUGCCACGACCGGAACUCCUUAUUUUAAAUACAUACAUUUGCAUAUAGUAAAAUCCUGGACCUUUAAUUUUUGAGGUUUUUUUUUUCUAUUUUAUAAUGAUUUUUAUUUGAGUUUUGACAGCUGAUUAUACGUACUUGUAUAACCUCCACCCAAAACAAUACGUAGAACAUUCUGUUAUCCCAGAAAAUAUCUUCAGUCCCUUUCAUGUUAAUUCGCCUCCUUAACAACAGCACUUUUUUGACUUCAGACACCAAAAAUUAGUUUGUCUGUUUCUGGAAUUCACAUAAAUGGAAUUGUACUGUUCAUAUUCUUUUGUAUCCCUUCUCUUUUGCCGAAUUGCUUUAAGAUUCAUCUAUGUUGUUGCAUCAGUGGUUCAUCCUUUUUUCUGUUCUUGUAGAAUUCCAUUGUAUGACUUGCCAUAAUUUGCCUUCCCACUAUCCUGCUGGUGGCUGUCUGGGCUGUCUCCACCUUGGGCUAUAAAGGAAUAAGGCUAUUAUGAACAUAUGUGUACAAGCAUUUUUGUGGACCUGUAUUUUCUUUUUUCUUGAAUAAAUAUUUAAGAGUAGAA